GACGAACGCUGGCGGCGUGCCUAACACAUGCAAGUUGAGCGACGAACCAGGGCUUGCCCUGGGGCAAAGCAGCGAACGGGUGAGUAACACGUGGGUAACCUACCCCGAUAACCGGGACAACCCGAGGAAACUCGGGCUAAUACCGGAUGUGCUCACUGGACUUCGGUUCAGUGCGUAAAGGAAGCUUCGGCCUCCGUAUCGGGAGGGGCCCGCGGCCCAUUAGUUUGUUGGUGAGGUGACGGCUCACCAAGACCGCGAUGGGUAGCUGGUCGGAGAGGAGGAUCGGCCACACUGGGACUGAGACGCGGCCCAGACUCCUGCGGGAGGCCGCAGUGCGCAACCGUGCGCAAUGCGCGAGAGCGUGACGCAGCAACGCCGCGUGGGGGAAGGAGGCCUUCCGGUUGUGAACCCCUUUCAGGAGGGACGAAGGUUCGGCGGUGAAUAGCCGUCCGGACUGACGGUACCGCCACAAGAAGCCCCGGCUAACUACGUG
rnacentral:rRNA from 1 species